UAGGGAAUAUUGGUCAAUGGGCGGAAGCCUGAACCAGCCAUGCCGCGUGCAGGAAGACGGCCUUCUGGGUUGUAAACUGCUUUUAUCAGGGAACAAAUAGGCCAUGCGUGGUCAGUUGAGUGUACCUGAAGAAUAAGCCCCGGCUAACUCCGUGCCAGCAGCCGCGGUAAUACGGAGGGGGCAAGCGUUGUUCGGAUUUACUGGGCGUAAAGGGCGCGUAGGCGGGGUAUCCAGUUAGGGGUGAAAGCCCGGGGCUCAACCUCGGAACUGCCUUUAAAACUGAUACUCUAGAGUCCGGAAGAGGGUCGCGGAAUUCCCAGUGUAGAGGUGAAAUUCGUAGAUAUUGGGAAGAACACCGGUGGCGAAGGCGGCGACCUGGUCCGGUACUGACGCUGAGGCGCGAAAGCGUGGGGAGCAAACAGGAUUAGAUACCCCUGUAGUCC
rnacentral:rRNA from 1 species